GAUGAACGCUAGCGAUAGGCCUAACACAUGCAAGUCGAGGGGCAGCAUAGAGUAGCAAUACUUUGAUGGCGACCGGCGCACGGGUGAGUAACACGUAUGCAACCUACCUACAUCAGGGGAAUAACCCGGAGAAAUUCGGACUAAUACCGCAUAAUACAGGGAUGCCGCAUGGCAAUAUUUGUUAAAGAUUUAUCGGAUGUAGAUGGGCAUGCGUUCCAUUAGCUGGUUGGUAAGGUAACGGCUUACCAAGGCAACGAUGGAUAGGGGAACUGAGAGGUUUGUUCCCCACACUGGAACUGAGACACGGACCAGACUCCUACGGGAGGCAGCAGUGAGGAAUAUUGGUCAAUGGACGAGAGUCUGAACCAGCCAAAUCGCGUGAAGGAAGACUGCCCUACGGGUUGUAAACUUCUUCUGUACAGGAAUAAAAGACAUUACGUGUAAUGUAUUGCAUGUACUGUACGAAUAAGCAUCGGCUAACUCCGUGCCAGCCGCCGCGGUAA
rnacentral:rRNA from 1 species